CCUACGGGUGGCAGCAGUAGGGGAUAUUGCUCAAUGGGGGAAACCCUGAAGCAGCAACGCCGCGUGGGGGAAGAAGGUUUUCGGCUCGUAAACUCCUUUUGUUAGAGAAGAAAAUGACGGUAUCUAACGAAUAAGCACCGGCUAACUACGUGCCAGCAGCCGCGGUAAUACGGAGGGUGCAAGCGUUAUCCGGAUUCACUGGGCGUAAAGAGGGCGUAGGCGGGGUAGCAAGUCAGAAGUGAAAGCCGAGGGCAUAACCAUAGAACUGCAGUUGAAACUGCUAUUCUAGAGUAUGGGAGAGGCAGGUGGAAUUCUUGGUGUAGGGGUAAAAUGCGUAGAGAUCAAGAGGAAUACUCAUGGCGAAGGCGACCUGCUGGAACAUAACUGACGCUGAGGCGCGAAAGCGUGGGGAGCAAACAGGAUUAGAUACCCUAGUAGUC
rnacentral:rRNA from 1 species